rnacentral:rRNA from 1 species
UACGUAGGGUGCGAGCGUUGUCCGGAAUUAUUGGGCGUAAAGAGCUCGUAGGCGGUGUGUCACGUCGAUCGUGAAAACUUACAGCUUAACUGUGAGCGUGCGGUCGAUACGGGCAUCACUGGAGUUCGGCAGGGGAGACUGGAAUUCCUGGUGUAGCGGUGAAAUGACGCAGAUAUCAGGAAGAACACCCGUGGCUAAGGCGGUUCUCUAGUACGGUACUGACGCUGAGACGCGAAAGCGUGGGGAGCGAACAGG